CCCUUCCUCGCAGUCACGGCUCAAGGUACAGCCGAUACGAAGCGCCACGGGUUACAACGCUAAUAAUCAAUCGAAUUAAUUUUAAUCUACGAUGGUCCUUUUUUUCCCGUAAUGAAUCUUGAAAUAAUGUUACAAUAAAAGAUAUAAUUGACAUAAAGCUUGUUCGAUACGUGCAUAUAUUUAGUGAUUUAAAGGCAAAUAGAAAAAAACGGUAAAACACGUGUUCAUCAUAAAUUUACAUCUAGUACUUUCUUGCAAAGUUAUAGGAUUGCAUCCUGUAAGACGGACACAAAAAGCUCGGAACAAAGGAGAGGAUGAAUUCAACUAGCAUUAUGAAAGAAUAAAUUUUAUUAAAAAUUGAAAGUCGCUAUCAAAGUAUUAAAAUAAAAAGAUAAGUAAAAAAUAUAUUUAUGCACAUUACUUUAUAUUAUUAAUAGUAACUAAACGAAUCUUCUAAUAUAAACUCGAACAGAAAUAUUAUGAGAUAACCCUUAACAUUUAAUCAUCCCCUGACAAUCUUUUAUUUCCCUUGCACUACUCACAGCUAAAGGUUAUCCUGAUUCCUUUCUAUUUCUAGACCAAUGUACCAUGAAGCUACAGAGAUGGUUUAAUCAUAAUUACUAACAAAAAAAACUAUGAGGUAUUUCCAUUUAAUCCAAGCUUAUUUGAACGAAAAUCUUUACGUCAUAAUUAAACGUUAUCUAUCGAAGUACAUGAUACAAUAACCAAAAGGCAAAAGAGCUAUUUCAUUCUUUCAAGUUCUCCAGCUUUGUAUAGACUAAGGAAGCUGUAUAACCAUUAGUGUUAAUCAAUUUCCACGAGGAUUUAUUGCCCCUUUAUGAAGAACUUUUUAAGCUCAUUUACUUUUUCUCUUAUUUAAGAGAAACUUCUGCAUCGUUUCAUCACUCUAUAUUAAUGAUGGAUACAAACUUUUAAAUUUAUGAUAUGACUAAAACGUGAAUAAACGCUAUUGUAUCAAAGAACAGUGUGAAAAAUCUCAUCAAAGAAGAAACAAAAGGAAAUAACUGUAAAAGAUAGAUUAAGGUCAAGUAAGGUGAAGUUCAGCGGUAAGAAUGAAAAGGAGGUGCAGGUGGAGACGGAUCAAAGUAAUUUUAAACAACCGUGCGACUGGUUUCUCGAGAUUUCACGCUGGUUCCUGACAGGUAAUGCCCUCGGGACGCACAUGGAAAAAAACCAAAUGGAAACCUAAUGUAUCGCCUCAGACGGACCUGUCAUUGAAACUGAUCAUUCCACGCGGGAGGUACGGGUCCUUGCGUCUUAUUCAUGACCGACUACUUCUGGCCAAUCAUCUCGCAUUCUGAAUGGGCCACCUGCAGUUACAGAGAGAAGGGAUGCAUGAUAAACUCGAACCGUUUGACCAGAUAGAUUAGUUCAGAACUUCUUUCUUCGAACAGAUAAUGGACAAUGCGAGGUUUCAUCGUGCAUGGAUUUUCGUAUAAAAAGAUAAGAAGCGCAGAAGAGGAAAGUCACAUGAAUCAAUGUAUGUAGAAAGAUAAGGAUUGUUCAAGGACAAUGGAGUUUAAAGCGUGCAUUCGUCCGUUUUAGAGACAAAUGGUAAACUUCGCGUCUCAAUUUUUAUGGAUUCGAAAACAUGCAUUCGGAAAGUCAUGUUUUACAUUCGAUAGAUUCCACGACAAAGAGAAAACAUGAAAAAAGAAAAUGAUGAAAAAGGGAAGAACAAACGCGGUUGUUCAAAGACACAUCGAUAUUCCCUAUGCUCUCCAUCUUGUCGUCACGAUAUAAAAUACCGGCUAAAAAAGGAGCGCUGAAUGGCCGAUACCCGACUAAAAACCGGACUUGCUCUCGUUACACGAAGCCAAAGAAACGAAGCAGUUGGCUACAGCACGGUGCAGGUGGGUUGCCAGAUGGCCAGAACGGAAACAGUGAAUGAAGGAACGAAAAGAAACGAAAGGAACACCGUUCAUCACGAAUACGCGACAAGACAAACGCGACCGCACGAACCGAAUACCAAUUUCGAGUUCCUGUCGCGCGAUUCUGGAUAUUUAUUCUCAUUUUGUUCAACAUGUUGUAAAAUUCCACAUAAUUAUAAAGAACAGAAAAAAAUUAUUGAUUUGAAUGAGAUA